AGAGUUUGAUCAUGGCUCAGGACGAACGCUGGCGGCGUGCCUAACACAUGCAAGUCGAGCGAGGACAGGGUUUCGGCCCUGUUCGAGCGGCGGACGGGUGAGUAACGCGUGAACAAUCUGUCCCAGACAGGGGAAUACCAGGUGGAAACAUCUGCUAAUGCCGCAUAAGAACCACGUCUUCGCAUGAGGACGAGGUAAAAGGAGCAAUCCGGUUUGGGGUGAGUUCGCGUCCCAUUAGCUAGUUGGUGGGGUAAAAGGCCCACCAAGGCGACGAUGGGUAGCCGACCUGAGAGGGUGAUCGGCCACACUGGAACUGAGAUACGGUCCAGACUCCUACGGGAGGCAGCAGUGGGGAAUAUUGGGCAAUGGGCGAAAGCCUGACCCAGCAACGCCGCGUGAGGGAAGAAGGUUUUCGGAUUGUAAACCUCUGUCCUCAGGGAAGAAGGAAGUGACGGUACCUGAGGAGGAAGCCCCGGCUAACUACGUGCCAGCAGCCGCGGUAAUACGUAGGGGGCAAGCGUUGUCCGGAAUGACUGGGCGUAAAGGGCGCGUAGGCGGCUCUGUAAGUCCGGAGUGAAAGUCCAGCUUUUAAGGUUGGAAUUGCUUUGGAAACUGUGGGGCUUGAGUGCGGAAGAGGUAAGUGGAAUUCCCAGUGUAGCGGUGAAAUGCGUAGAGAUUGGGAGGAACACCAGUGGCGAAGGCGACUUACUGGGCCGUAACUGACGCUGAGGCGCGAAAGCGUGGGGAGCGAACAGGAUUAGAUACCCUGGUAGUCCACGCGGUAAACGAUGAAUGCUAGGUGUAGGGGGUAUCGACCCCUCCUGUGCCGGAGUAAACGCAAUAAGCAUUCCGCCUGGGGAGUACGGCCGCAAGGUUGAAACUCAAAGGAAUUGACGG
rnacentral:rRNA from 1 species